UUCUUGGUGGUCCAACGGCUAAGACACGCGCCUGUCAUUAACCUUGCCUAAGGCAAAUGUGCGCGCGUAACCCGGGUUCGACUCCCGGCCAGGAAG
rnacentral:tRNA from 1 species